UAGGGAAUCUUCGGCAAUGGGGGGAACCCUGACCGAGCAACGCCGCGUGAGUGAAGAAGGUUUUCGGAUCGUAAAGCUCUGUUGUUAAGGAAGAACGAGUGUGAGAAUGGAAAGUUCAUACUGUGACGGUACUUAACCAGAAAGGGACGGCUAACUACGUGCCAGCAGCCGCGGUAAUACGUAGGUCCCGAGCGUUGUCCGGAUUUAUUGGGCGUAAAGCGAGCGCAGGCGGUUAGAUAAGUCUGAAGUUAAAGGCAGUGGCUCAACCAUUGUAGGCUUUGGAAACUGUUUAACUUGAGUGCAGAAGGGGAGAGUGGAAUUCCAUGUGUAGCGGUGAAAUGCGUAGAUAUAUGGAGGAACACCGGUGGCGAAAGCGGCUCUCUGGUCUGUAACUGACGCUGAGGCUCGAAAGCGUGGGGAGCGAACAGGA
rnacentral:rRNA from 1 species